rnacentral:snRNA from 1 species
GCACAUUUCUGGUUCUGUAUCUGCUUAAACGGACAUUGGAUAAUUCAUUAAUGCCCUGACUCCUAAAAAAUAAUCGGAAUUGAUGGGUAGAUUUCUGAAAACAAAUGAAAAGCAAUCGAAAGAUGUUACAUCAUUUAUGGAUCAAUAAAGCCCUUCCCAGUAAGAAUUGGAUUAGUAUCUCCUCAACUAAUCUAAGAAUCAACAUAAUCAGACACAUUUUAUUUACCCAAAUCUCUGGCAAUUCACAUUCCACCUCACAAUGGAAAAAUCAUUAAAACCCUAUUUUCUGUUGAAAUAAAUCUUGACAUGCUGCUCCAUGAAGCUCAACAUAGUAAAAAAAUAAAAAAUAUAUAGAGCAUCGAUAUCAAGUUGUGUUGCAGAUAGCAGCUUUCAAAAAUUAAAAGAACCCGAGAGAUUGCCCAUGCCACAUUGACGAGAAAUUGAAAUUGGGUAAAGAACCAGAGAGAUUACGCAAUCCACACCACAAUCUCCUUCACUAGUUCCAAUUCCUAUUAUCGCGGAUCCUUCCAUUCAUAAUAAAAUGAAACACAAAAAUGCUGGAAAGAAAAAUCAAAGGAAAACCUUCAGAUUUCGACAAAAAAAUUUGGACCAUUUCUCGAUUUGUGCGUGUCAUCCUUGCGCAGGGGCCAUGCUAAUCUUCUCUGUAUCGUUCCAAUUUUAUCGGAUGUCCCCAAAGGGACGACCCUCUCUGCCUUGGCUGGGUAUAUGAACUGUUAAAAACUCUUGUAUUUCGUCAAUGUGGGACUUAACUUGUUCAGGUUUACACUAUUAAUAUGGCUUAUGCUUAAUUCCAAGUUUGGGCUGGGCCUUAGAGAUGCGGUCUGAUAAUUUUUCGUUGACUUUAAUUUGCUUCCUCCGCGUUUGCCAAAUUGUCU